rnacentral:tRNA from 1 species
AUCUAAGUAGUUUAUAAGAAAAAUGUUGAUUUGUGGUGUCAAGGAAGUGGUAAAUUUACCUUAGAUU